GGCAGUGCGUGGGCUGAGACGUUUCCGGGGGUCCUCUGACCGGGGUUGGAGCAGCUACUGCGUCUUUAUGGGUGGAGGAACAUUGCUUUAUUCAAACAGGCUUGAGUGACAACUUGAGGACAAGGACACUUUGCCAAGAUUUUACGCAGCGGCUGGCAGGGCCAGAGAGGCAGCAUGGUGUGGCAGGAGAAUGAGGACCUGCGCAAGCAAUUGGUUGAAGCCUCAGAGUUAUUGAAAUCCCAGGCCAAAGAACUCAAAGAUGCCCAUCAGCAGCAAAAGCUGGCCCUGCAGGACUUCUUGGAGCUCGGUGAGCUGGUAGCAGAGCUCUGCUCCCAGAAGCAGAAGGUGUGGGACAAGGAGGGGAGAUGGAGGUGGCCAUGCAGAAAGUCAACACGAUGUGGCAGGAGAGCUGAAGAUCCAAGAAGCUCAGAAAGAGGAAGCUGUUUAUAUGGUUCAGUGAUGGUAUUGAUUGGGCUUUUUAAAAUGUUUCAUUAUUACACUUUAAGUUCUGGGGUACUUUGUAUGACCUUAAUAAAACAUCUUUGAGGCCGGG